ACGAAACACAGAACCUCUUAAAAACUUCUUGAAACGGCUACAAAAGGCUAUAGACGUCUUGGUCUAUGAUAAGACUGAAAAUAGAAUUUCUUCUAAACAUAACCUCAGCACUUGGAAUAUGCUAGUAUAUAUUCUAUCUGCGGCAAAACCCACUACUGGUGUCACUAGAGUCUGUUUUGGUGAACGCAUUCAGAAUGUCUAACUCAAGAACUUUUCUAGAUCUUUUUGUCUAAAAGUGCAUAAAAUGCCAAACGGCGUGUUAAAAGUGCGGUUACCGUUGGCCGUCGGCGUUAGCGAAUAAAAGACGCCACAGACAAAUCGAACUCGUUGGAAGCAACAUAAGUUAAUUGGCUUUGAUAUUAAAUAAUUUCACACCAAAACUUCAACAAUCAAGGGCGUGUUAUUGUUUUCCAUACGGGGCGCGCACACGACGCCUGGAAGCCAUUCUAUGCUCGCGCAGCAGGUAUACUGACAGCAGCAGGAGCGAAACGCCGGCGUUGCACAGCGGUGUCACAGAGCCACCGCGCUGCGAUCACUUCGGCGACACAAUCCAAAUUUGUCGGACAUCUCAUUCUGUGCUGGAAACACUGGGAGGCAGGAAGUUUGAAAAAACGGCCACUGCCGCCCGCAAUGUCUCGGUCGUGGGCUGGUCGUGGGUUCGUUAUGCCAGUUGUGCGUCAUUCUAAGCCGUUCUGUACAUUUAUACUGCAUAUUAAUUGGAGUCAUUUAGCUGUGCUGAUGCUGUUUGCCGUGUGUUUUGCAUCAGUGCUUCGUGACAUCGGCUGUAUUGCGUGUUUUCGCCGACGGCUUACUACCACAAUGGCGGGAUCUGCGUUCGCCGCCUUCGUGUCUCGGUGCGUCAUUUUGUACGUCGCACGUUCGGAUAACACUUUUUCCGGUAAGUGAAAUACAUUGCACUUCGUUUUUCGUCAACAAUGUGAAUAUUUUUAGGUGUUACCCGCGACAGUUCUUGAUAUAUGGGCUCUUCUGCCCUGCGAGUUUUCGUCAUUACUUUUAUACGAGGGUUCUGCUUGUGUUCAGCCGUUCAGCACUACCGCGCUCCACGACUUCCGCAACACCAGUCAGAACUUUGCCCUGCUUGUUAGUCUUUGUGGUUGACGUAGCACGAACCAACCGAAAGGAGUGCAUUCGAAGACGACGCGCUGGCUGUAAUGCUGAACCAGGCUGAACUCGCCCUAUCUUGUGUCCUUUUGUUCUUGCGUGUGCGCGCGUGUGUGUCAGUGACUAUGCAGUUUGUAGCGCUCCCACUUUAUAGCAAAACAAAAAAUAUAACUGCUAUGUUUACUUCAUCUAUACAAUUCCAAAUUAAAUCGUCUGCUGAUGUACAAAUUUCACUUGUGUUUUGUUCUAAAUAAGCAGCAAAACCUUUAACCUAGUAGGUGCUUCACCUGGGAGUGAAAACACGACAGCUUGGCACUUAUUAUUGAAUGACUGUGACUGGGUCACCUUAGUUGUAAUUGCAAAUCUGCCUUUCAACUGACUUGAUGCUAUCUUAUUUUGUUCCUUUCACUCUAUAGACAGCUGGACAUCCUUCUUGUACCUUGGCGCUAGCUGGAUGACGGGACAUCAUGAUCAGUGUAUUGCUUGCCUAUGUCUACAAGAACCGUCACGCGUGGCCUGUGACAGCAAGCUUUUGUGGGCAGCAAGUGCUCUCCUACGAAGGCUGGCCUACUCUGGCAGCGGCGGCAAUCAUCUUCAAGAUUUAUCCAUAAUCACCUUUGCUGCUUUUUGUCACUCUUGUUGAUUACACUUUCUGCGUCUUUUCUAAUUUAUUAGGUAAUAAAGUAUGAGUAUGUGA